GAUGAACGCUAGCGGCAGGCCUAACACAUGCAAGUCAGGGGUAACAUGAAAAGCUUGCUUUUCUGAUGACGACCGGCGCACGGGUGCGUAACGCGUAUACAACCUACCUUUUAGCGGGGAAUAGCCCAGGGAAACUUGGAUUAAUGCCUCAUAGUAUAUAAGCUUCUCCUGAAGUUUAUAUUAAACAUUUAUGGCUAUUAGAUGGGUAUGCGUCCUAUUAGUUAGUUGGUAAGGUAACGGCUUACCAAGGCAGCGAUAGGUAGGGGUCCUGAGAGGGAGAUCCCCACACUGGUACUGAGACACGGACCAGACUCCUACGGGAGGCAGCAGUGAGGAAUAUUGGACAAUGGGCGAGAGCCUGAUCCAGCCAUGCCGCGUGCAGGAAGACUGCCCUAUGGGUUGUAAACUGCUUUUACAGAGGAAGAACCACCCCACGUGUGGGGGUUUGACGGUACUCUGCGAAUAAGGAUCGGCUAACUCCGUG
rnacentral:rRNA from 1 species